UGGCUGUUGGUGUAACGGUUAGCACGCAUGACUCUGGAUCAUGAAGUGGGGGUUCGAAUCCCUCACGGCCAA
rnacentral:tRNA from 1 species